rnacentral:rRNA from 1 species
UAACCUGCCUUGGAGCGGGGAAUAACAGCUGGAAACAGCUGCUAAUACCGCAUAAUGCAGUUGGGUCGCAUGGCUCUGACUGCCAAAGAUUUAUCGCUCUGAGAUGGACUCGCGUCUGAUUAGCUAGUUGGCGGGGCAACGGCCCACCAAGGCGACGAUCAGUAGCCGGACUGAGAGGUUGGCCGGCCACAUUGGGACUGAGACACGGCCCAGACUCCUACGGAAGGCAGCAG